rnacentral:lncRNA from 1 species
UCUCAUGAAAUAUGAUGCCUAUUGGAAUUAAUUUGGUCACCUGCUACAUUUUUUUCAUUAAUACAAGCUUUAAUCCUUAUUUUUGUGCAAAUAGUGUAAUAAUUUCAUUAAUCGACCAUAAGGAUUGACUUUAUUAGCUACUCUGCAUACAUCGCUUACAGGAUGGUAUCUCUUUCCCUUGUGCCCCUCAGAAAAGCAAGAACUACUGCUAAAUCAGAAGGAGUAUAUAGGACUAGAGUCUGGUCUUUUAGCAUUUAACCCUUUUAUGUAAAGGAUUUUGAUGUUCAAAAAGCAAUUACGCGAAGGAGGUUUUCUUGAACAGAUUUUUGAGUGGAAUAUGUAGUGAGGUAUGUACAGAAAGAAAAUUUGUGUAUCUUAAACAUGUUAAAAAAAUAUUUGUAAUAUCUGCACUUUAUAUCUUCUACUGCUUAUUAUUGUUCUAAGAGGGUAAAUAAAAAUAUUCUUGUUGGUAUAUUAGGGUAAUUUGAUAUUAGUUGCUAAGACACUACGGCUUGCAUUCAGAGAUUUCAAAUUACGCUCCAAGCAUGCUUGUUAAAAGAGAAAAAGCAAAAUAUAAUUAAUAAGAUAUUGGAUGGUAAAUCUCUAAUUUUUGAAAUUGCAGUAUGUAUCGAGGAAACUCUAUUUCCUUCUUGAAAUUGUAGCAGUUCAAAUGUCAAUAAUGCAAUUGCAGCAUUUAAGCAUUCCAUUCUUUUAGCUGUCAUGACCAAGUCUUGGCAAUCUUUGCCUUUGUGAUAAGAUUUGUACUUCUGAAUGUUCCUAACUGAUAGAACAAUUUAAACAUCCAUUCAAUCACUUAUUUUUAAUGCAUAAGGAAGGUGAGUUUUACCUACAAGCUGUAUGGAGCAUUCUUGAACUAGUUAGGUGUAAUUUCAUUUGCUUGCCUAUGUGAAGUUUCAUGAGACUUCUUAUUUGUUGCAGAUUUUUCACCCAGUGGAACCAAAUAAUGAAUCUUCUUAUUAGUUUACUAGCUUAUUUCUUUGAGGUUUAAGGCAGAGCUUAUUGUAAUUCAACUUCUUUGUAGAUAUUAAUUAAUGAACAUCGUAGCUUGCUUUAGGUGCGAUUAAAU